UGUGGUAGGAAGGACCGUGGCUCAGUGGCAGAGCCGCUGCUUGACAUGCAGAAGUUCCCAGGUUCAAACCCCGGGCUCCACAG
rnacentral:tRNA from 1 species